CAAAGUCACAGAGGGAUCCGCCCCUUUCCUGGCUGCCUACACAGAAAGCAGCCAUGGGAGACUUGCCGAGGACUUUGUCCACCAAGUGAUGAAAGCAUGCAAAUGCCUCCGAAUCAAAGGUGAUGAAAUUGAGACCUCGCAGUUAAAUGUUUAAGUCAGGAUGAACUACUUUUCCAGGGAUGGUGAAGCCGGAGCUCUGGAUGGCACUCCUGGAUCUCCUAAAUCUUGAUUCCGUGCUCUUUUCUCCCCACUUGGCUCCACUGUUUUGGCAGAGUCCCUUAAGAUGGACCUGAUUGGAUGAUGUGGAACUAGCCAUGCAGAAAGAACAGAGGGUGGGAAAACAAAUGAGGUCAGAGAGUCCUCAUAUUAGUCGGUUCUUGCACUGCUAUAAAGAACUAUCUGAGGCUGGAUAAUUUAUGAAGAAAAGAGGUUUACUUGACUCACGGUUCCACAGGCUGUACAGGAGGCAUAGCUGGGGAGUCCUCAGGAAACUUAACAAUCAUAGCAGAAGACAAAAAAGAAGUAAGCAUGUCUUCACAUAGCCAGCAAGAGAGAGAGACAGAGACCAAAGCAGGAGGUGCUAUACACUUUAAAACAACCAGAUCUCAUGAGAACUCUUUCAGGAGAACAGCAAGGGGAAAGUUUGCCUCCAUGAUUCAAUCACCUCCCACCAGGCCUUUCCUCUAAUACUGGGAAUUACAAUUGAACAUGAGAUUUGAGUGAGGACAAAGAGCCAACCAUAUCAGUCCUCUUCAGUUGUUGGUACCUAUGUGGGGAGAAGGAGCUGUGUAGAGUGGGUGUGACUAAGUCGGUCAGAACUGGGAAGCAUGGCAGACUAGGCUGUCCUGCAACCGGAGGGUGGUUUCAGAAUCCAGAGCCUGGGAUAGCAUUCCCUGGACCCUCAGUCCAUACCUGCUAUCUACAGGCAGCUAGAGAAAACGUAAGAAUCAGCAUCGGUCACAGGUGACAUUGGGGCAGGGCACUGAGCUCCCUGCUCUCCACUGCGGCUGCAGUCUUUAAACUCCUUAUUCUAUCCAGCACAGACAGUUUGCAGACGAAGGUUUCUGCACCGGCAUCUCUGCUCAGAAGAGAUUUGCUGAUGUAACAAUUAUUUGCACUAUUUAUAUUCAAAUGUUCUUUUAAAAAAAUGCAGCCUCUAAAUUUACGGAUAGUAACUGUGUGCAAAUCAGGAAACUUAUCUCCUUUUUAUAGUCUAAAAUCAAAUUACACUUUACAUUUUUCUCACUUGCAGAAUAUUAGAUUGUGAUGCCUAAAUGACUUGUGUUUAUGAAAAAGGUGAAUUUUAAGAACAAAUUUUAAAACUGCAUAAGCAGUUUAAUGGGUGUUUUUAGAAAGUGAGAAUGAUCAGCUGGUAAGCAUUUAUUAUAUAUUAAACUGGAAGUUAUAUCGUCGCAUCCGUUAGCACUGAAUUCUGAAAAUCAUCAUGGCCCAGGUUUGUGUUUAUGAAAUGAUGGACCACAGGACUGUUAAAUAAAGUUGUAAAAAAAAAGUUGGUCGAUGUCCCUGUUUUUUCACUAGUUUUCUGACCUGUAAUCUGAGAUCUGAUUGAGUUCUCAAUAUCCUGCAAGUCACAGAUUCUAUCCCCAUUUAUGCACACGAUUGUAGUUGUCUCAUGGUUUUCAGUGUUCUUAAUGAGCUGUUAACAAGCUGUCAAUUACCUAUGCAAAUUAGGGAGGCCAACAUUGAGGGGUGGCUGUAUCUGCAGUUAAAGAGUGCUACCUUGGAAUGUUAUGAAAUCAAUCAUUCUUGCUUUAAUAGCUAUCUUUACUCAUGUGUCUCUUGUCAUGUCUGGGUCUUUUUUCAUUAUAAUACCUACCGCAUAAGAAAAGCCCUCUGGGAAUUUUGAAGGUGCUUAGAAAGGAGCUUACCCAAAUCUUUCAUAACUUUUAACUUGGCUUAAAGAUUGCCUAAAAUGCAGGCUUACUUUUUCACCUGUCUUUCCAG
rnacentral:lncRNA from 1 species